rnacentral:tRNA from 1 species
AUGCUGCUGGGGCCGGAAAUGCGGGGUCCUGGUGGUGGGAAACGGGGAAAGAUGAUGAAUCGGUGAUGGGCGACGG